AGAGUUUGAUCCUGGCUCAGGACGAACGCUGGCGGCGUGGAUUAGGCAUGCAAGUCGAGCGACGGGCCUUCGGGCUACGGAGCGGCGAACGGGUGAGUAACACGUGAGUAAGCUGUCCCUUCAUUCCGGAUAAUUGACCGAAAGGUCUUGUAAUACGGGCGAGGGUCGCACUGGGGCAUCCCAGAGCGAAGGAACAUGCAAAUGGUGCAGGGAGGCGCUCGCGGCCUAUCAGGUAGUUGGUGGGGUAACGGCCUACCAAGCCUACGACGGGUAGCUGGUCUGAGAGGAUGGUCAGCCACAUUGGAACUGAGACACUGUCCAGACUCCUACGGGAGGCUGCAGUCGAGAAUCUUGCACAAUGCACGAAAGUGUGAUGCAGCGACGCCGCGUGGAGGAUGAAGGCCCUUGGGUCGUAAACUCCUUUUAGAGGGGAAGAAUCAAUGACGGUACCCUCUGAAUAAGCCACGGCUAACUACGUGCCAGCAGCCGCGGUAAUACGUAGGUGGCAAGCGUUGCCCGGAUUUACUGGGUGUAAAGGGUGCGCAGGCGGGACCUUUAAGUAGAAAGUGAAAGGUUGGAGCUCAACUCCGACACUGCUUCCUAUACUGGGGGUCUUGAGUUUCGGAGAGGAAAGCGGAACGACACGUGUAGCGGUGAAAUGCGUUGAUAUGUGUCGGAACACCAAUGGCGAAAGCAGCUUUCUGGACGAAUACUGACGCUCAGGCACGAAAGCCAAGGUAGCAAACAGGAUUAGAUACCCUAGUAGUCC
rnacentral:rRNA from 1 species